rnacentral:rRNA from 1 species
GAUGAACGCUGGCGGCGUGCCUAAUACAUGCAAGUCGAGCGAACAGAUAAGGAGCUUGCUCCUUUGACGUUAGCGGCGGACGGGUGAGUAACACGUGGGUAACCUACCUAUAAGACUGGGAUAACUUCGGGAAACCGGAGCUAAUACCGGAUAACAUUUGGAACCGCAUGGUUCUAAAGUGAAAGAUGGUUUUGCUAUCACUUAUAGAUGGACCCGCGCCGUAUUAGCUAGUUGGUAAGGUAACGGCUUACCAAGGCAACGAUACGUAGCCGACCUGAGAGGGUGAUAGGCCACACUGGAACUGAGACACGGUCCAGACUCCUACGGGAGGCAGCAGUAGGGAAUCUUCCGCAAUGGGCGAAAGCCUGACGGAGCAACGCCGCGUGAGUGAUGAAGGGUUUCGGCUCGUAAAACUCUGUUAUUAGGGAAGAACAAACGUGUAAGUAACUGUGCACGUCUUGACGGUACCUAAUCAGAAAGCCACGGCUAACUACGUG